AGCUGGCUGGUCCCAUGAGGUGACUUCUGCCCAGUGCUCUGAUUGUCAAUGCGAAGAGAUUCAGCCAAGCGCGGGUAAACGGCGGGAGUAACUAUGACUCUCUUAAGGUAGCCAAAUGCCUCGUCAACCAAUUAUUGACGCGCAUGAAUGGAUCAACGAGAUUCCUGCUGUCCCUAGUUGCCGUCUGGUGAACCAACAGCCAAGGGAACGGGCUUGGAUGUGUCAGCGGGGAAAGAAGACCCUGUUGAGUUUGACUCUAGUUUGAUGCUGUGCAACGACAUGGAGGGUGUAGCACAGGUGGGAGGCGAGUGCCAUUGCCACUAUCAGCUGUGUGCUGAGUCGUCUGGGGAAAGAAGAGAUUGCCACUGGUGCAAACCAGCAGUGAAAUACCACUACCUUCACCGUCGUUUUACUCAUCGAGUGAUCUGGGAUCGGCGGCCAUUCAAUCAGCUCUUCCCUCGCGGAGGGGCUGUGGCCAAGAACCGCUUCGUGCACCAAGUGCUGCACCUCGGUGUGGCGCGACCCUGGAGUUGCAUUCCAAUCAGAAGCCUUGAGACAUUGAUCAGUUGGGGAGUUUGGCUGGGGCGGCACGCCUGUUACAGGACAACGCAGGCGUCCUGAAGCAAUGCUCAGAUGGAACAGAAAUCUCUCAUGGAGGAGCAGGCCAAAGGUGCUGCUGAUGCUGCGACUUUCAGUGCAAGUCCAAAACGUGCAAGUGUGGCCUAGCGAUCCUUUGGUUGAGUGCACGAGUUUGGGAUAUUGAAGCCAGAGGUGUCAGAAAAAUUACCACAGGGAUAACUGGCUUGUGGCUGCCAAGCGUUCAAAGCGACGUCGCUUUUUGAUCCUUCGAUGUCGGCUCUUCCUAGCUUCCCACCCGCAGCCGAGUGGAAGAGUUGGAUUGU
rnacentral:rRNA from 1 species